CCUACGGGAGGCAGCAGUGAGGAAUAUUGGUCAAUGGGCGUAAGCCUGAACCAGCCACGUCGCGUGAGGGAUGAAGGUCCUAUGGAUCGUAAACCUCUUUUAUAAGGGAAUAAAGUGUGGGACGUGUCCUGUUUUGUAUGUACCUUAUGAAUAAGGAUCGGCUAACUCCGUGCCAGCAGCCGCGGUAAUACGGAGGGUCCGUGCGUUAUCCGGAUUGAUUGGGUUUAAAGGGUGCGUAGGCGGGCUUUUAAGUCAGCGGUGAAAGUUUGUGGCUCAACCAUAGAAUUGCCGUUGAAACUGGGAGACUGGAGUAUGUGUGAGGAUGGUGGAAUGCGUGGUGUAGCGGUGAAAUGCUUAGAUAUCACGCAGAACCUCGAUUGCGAAGGCAGCCUGCCAAGCCAUGACUGACGCUGAUGCGCGAAAGCGUGGGUAUCAAACAGGAUUAGAUACCCUUGUAGUC
rnacentral:rRNA from 1 species